GUAGAAAUGACCGCCACUGUACUGUUGGUUGUACAGUGAAAUUUCGUUGUUUUAUGUUAAACCAACAAAAUUAAAUAAGUUGGUCCAGUAUUCCUGAAAAAAUGACUGUUAACAAUACAAAUUGUUGUGUUUUUCGCUGCCAUAGCAAAAACAAUAGAAACAGUGGGCUCUCUUUUCAUAAAUUCCUAAAUUCCCCAUAAAAAACAAGUCAUUUGUUUAAAUGUUAUGAACAGGUUAGGAAUCAGGGAAAAAAAUGGACAGAUAUAAGACUUGGAUGGUAAAGCUAAAUAUGGGAAAACCAGCAACAAAGCACAUGAAAGUGUGUUCACUACAUUGUAAUCAGGAUGAUUUCAUAUUGAGGAUUUGAUUUGAGGACCCAGGUGGGUUAGUUAGCUUCGAGCUUGCCCACUACACCUUGGGUCGUGGGUUCGAUUCCCGCCUUGCCUUUUGGGUGUUGUGUAUGUCAUGUUUCCUGUAAUUGGGCCUCCAGCUUGUUAGAGACAUCAUAGGAUAAAAUAAAUAAAAAUAAAAAUAUUACCUGAUGUAAGUAUCAUUACUAAAGAAUUACUACCUAGAAGGCCCAAAAAUCGAGACUUUAAAGCAGUCAGAAGUACAACAAUGAGAAAAUCUGAAGGUUACAUAAUUUCAAGUACAGAUAGUACUGAUGUAAAUUGCUUCGACAGCAGUCAGUUACAUCAAAAAACUGUUUCAACAUUAGAAAUGGAAACCGUGCAGGCUUUGUUACAUUUACAAAAUUCACAAAAUAAGGAUAAAAAUAUUCAAGUGACAAGUGGAGAUUUAGUGGCACCUUUUAUAAGUACACUUAAAUCUGAUAAUGAUUUAAAUACAAUGGCUGGAAUACCAUCCUUUCUGUUAUUUAAUGCUAUUGUUGCAAAUUGUGAGAUGUUUGGAAAAUUCUGUAAUAAACAUAAAUUAAACUUGAAAGAACGUGUUCUGUUAACUUUUAUGAAACUGAAAAAUACAUUUUCUUAUGCUGUUUUA